GGAAUAGGGAGUGCUUCUGGGAGGGGAAAGGAGUGUAUGAAGAGUUUCUGCAAGAGAGCCCCGGAACAGGUCAACUUGGGUAGGAGAAGAGAACUGUCGAGACUGUGGCAGAGGUAAGGUCUGGGGUGUAAAGUCAUUCCUACGGGAUGGACAAAGGCUAUUAAGAGUUAAAUUGUAGUAGUGUUGAGAUUUUUCUUUUGACCAUGCUCUUCUGAAAGCCAGCAGUGGAAUGGUGAGACAGUAAAGGAAAGGAUACUAGAGAAAAAUUAACCACUCUUUCUAUGCAGGAAUGGAGCAUUGGAUUGGCAGGUUAUGCAUUCUUCUUGUGCCUGAUACCACCAUCUGCAGUCAUCUGCACAUCUCUCCAAAUAGAAUGGUGUUGGUCCAGCAACAUUACUGAUGUAAUAACUACCCCAGGGAAGUGAGAUUAUGGACAGGAGAAUAAUCAGUUUUAAUGAUUUUUUAACGAAACAUCCAGCUAGUGACUUGACUGUAGUUCGAGACUGGUUAGCAGCAGUAACAAGAUGACCCCAGUUCUACCAUUGUCCUGAAAGAAGUCCCCUUGCGGCUCCUGCCUCUGCACACAACCAAUGCUUCAGCAGACUUAGGUCAUUCUCAAAGUUAUAAUCCUGAUCGCUACCUAGAUCUUGACAGGCCUUCUCUACUGUGCCCCAGUAGAUACUCCACAUAGGCAGGUUGUCCACUGGGAGCUUUGACCAGCUGUACGCACCCAGCAGCAUAUGUAAAAACCCAUUUCUGGACACUGAGUUUGGGGGCUAAGUAGAGGCAUCUCCUUGAGCUUGGUCUACACACAGAAGUAUUCCCAAAUGAUAGCCAGGAACCUGUUGCACAUGGCUGGUAAGUGCACUAUGAGGUAAGUGGUGAGGGUGAAUGAGAAAUGCAGAUACGGAAACUGGAGAAGUAAACUAAGUGGACAAUGUCAGUGGAAUCCAAAACCCACUCCCCUUACAGGAUGAAGUAGGAAAAGUUGAGGGCACAGGUUAGCUCAUUAAUGGAGAGUCAGCCUGGAAAGUUAGAAAACCCUCUUUCCCCAUUCUCUGAGUUUAAGUGAUGCCUUUGAGUGUGUCUGUAUACAUAGGAUACAUAGAAGGUUUGUGAAAUCUGUGUUAUCUGGAGAAGGAUGGAGGGAUUAAUAACCAAACACUUUGCCUAGUAUGAAGAAAUGAGUUGUUUUUAUGGAUCACUAAUUCCUGGCUGGAAUGUGUUGGCUUCUAAGUGAUAAACUAUCCUUCCCAACUAACAUAAAAGUUCAGUCAGUAGAAAUUAGACUUGCCCUCCAUUCACACAUAAUAGACUCUGCUGAUGGGCUCUUAGGUGAAACAAGGCAAAGAAUGAUAAACCUCUACCUCCAUAGUCACAGUCUUCUAGAAGAUGGACCAGUAAAGAGCUAGAAUACUGCAUGAACUUAAAAUUGGGAAAGGGCUGUAUACACAAUGAAACAUCUGAGCUCAGGUAAUAGACCUUAACUGCCAUCAGCAGCUUUAUAUUCAUCUUGUUCUAAUACUGUAUUAAAUAGAACAGAAGGAACAAGGAAGGUUAUAUCUAGAAAAGAACUAUUGGCAUAAGUGCAUUCUUGACAGGCUUCAGGAGGCACAAUUAAGAGGUCACCUGUUUUCAAUCAUAUCCAUCCUGGGAGAAAGAAUACUCAGUAUGAGAAUAUUCUGCUCUGAGUCAAUGUUUUGGAGAUAGAGGAAAUGGGUAGUUCCCUAGCCAAGAAAUAGGCUUUCUUGGAGCCCAGGGAUGGUACUAAAAAGAAUUUGGAUCAGCUGGUCCAAAAGCCACUCUGUAUCACACAUGUGUGCUUAUGUAUGUGUUGUUGUCUGGGGUGGAUAAAAGCUUUGUGGGUAGAGCAGUGAUCUGAUCCUAGCAUCUGCAUGGGCAAACCAAUAUAAAAGCUCUUAGAAUAUUAUAAGUUCAUCAAGUUUACUUAUACCCAGAUAUUUGCAGAUUAAAUUCUUCCUGCCACUGAAAAGAUGUACUCUGUGUGAUACUUUGUAAGCUGAAGCUCUUCAGUUUACAGUCCAUUAAAAACACCACAUAGUAGUGGGUGUGAAUGCUUAGAAUCCAGGUGAAAUGUUGCAGAUUUUUUAUAAAACUCAAAUUAUAUGAAUUUAUCAAUAAGAUAAAGGUCAAAGCAAUUUAAAUCUGUGUUUUUGUGUUGUAUCAAAGAUACUCUUUGGCCAAGAUGGUGGAGUAGAAAGUCCCUGAGCUUACCUCCUCUCAUGAGCACACCAAAAUCACAAGUACUUGCAGAACAACCAUCAAUGAAAAAGUCCAGAACCAACCAGAAGAGAUCUUCUACAACUAAAGACAUAAAAAAGGAACCAAGAUGAGAACAGAUGGCAGCAAGGUCCAGAAGGCUCAAAUCACUGCUGUCCUCCAUCAGAUGCUUCAGCAAAUCUUCAAACUGUUCAGCAUAAGAGGUUGGUUGGCAUGAGACUGGCCUGGAGAAGUUCUUCACUGGACUUCAUCAGCAUUGGCAAGUCCUGGAGACCAGCUUGGUGCAGUAGUUGGGGAUGGAACGAGACUCCCCUGAGCUGUGAAGACUCCAUAAUGGCUGUGAAAAAGCACUUCCAAGAAAACAGUUUUUCUCUGGAAAGAAAGAACAGAGCUGCUACACCUGGGUAGUUGCCAGAGCAAGAAAUCAUGAAAUCCUUCUCUUUAUUAUCAAGCUUGCAAGAAAGAUUAAGAGCUAAGGAACUAGAGGUAUGCUCUUAAAGAAACAAUUAUGGACAGAUACAACUCAUCGUACUCCCACAUGUUUAAUAAUUUCAAAGACUUUUUUUUUCUGCCUUCAUCAUAAAAUAAAUGGAUUAAAUUUGUCAAAACAUUUAUCGGUAGUAUUAAGCAACUAUAAGUAAAAGCAUCUAGUUCAUAGGGGGCAC